GUGGGGAAUAUUGGACAAUGGGGGGAACCCUGAUCCAGCCAUGCCGCGUGUGUGAAGAAGGCCUUUUGGUUGUAAAGCACUUUAAGCGAGGAGGAGGCUACCGAGAUUAAUACUCUUGGAUAGUGGACGUUACUCGCAGAAUAAGCACCGGCUAACUCUGUGCCAGCAGCCGCGGUAAUACAGAGGGUGCAAGCGUUAAUCGGAUUUACUGGGCGUAAAGCGCGCGUAGGUGGCCACUUAAGUCAAAUGUGAAAUCCCCGAGCUUAACUUGGGAAUUGCAUUCGAUACUGGUUGGCUAGAGUAUGGGAGAGGAUGGUAGAAUUCCAGGUGUAGCGGUGAAAUGCGUAGAGAUCUGGAGGAAUACCGAUGGCGAAGGCAGCCAUCUGGCCUAAUACUGACACUGAGGUGCGAAAGCAUGGGGAGCAAACAGGAUUAGAAACCCUGGUAGUCC
rnacentral:rRNA from 1 species